UAUGGUAAUGUCCAGCCGCCGCGGUAAUACGGAAGGUCCGGGCGUUAUCCGGAUUUAUUGGGUUUAAAGGGAGCGUAGGCCGGAGAUUAAGCGUGUUGUGAAAUGUAGACGCUCAACGUCUGCACUGCAGCGCGAACUGGUUUCCUUGAGUACGCACAAAGUGGGCGGAAUUCGUGGUGUAGCGGUGAAAUGCUUAGAUAUCACGAAGAACUCCGAUUGCGAAGGCAGCUCACUGGAGCGCAACUGACGCUGAAGCUCGAAAGUGCGGGUAUCGAACAGG
rnacentral:rRNA from 1 species